rnacentral:rRNA from 1 species
UCAUGGUGGAGCGGUAAAAGAUGGCCUCUGGCUAUCACUUACAGAUGGGCCCGCGGCGCAUUAGCUAGUUGGUAAGGUAACGGCUUACCAAGGCGACGAUGCGUAGCCGACCUGAGAGGGUGAUCGGCCACACUGGGACUGAGACACGGCCCAGACUCCUACGGGAGGCAGCAGUAGGGAAUCUUCCGCAAUGGACGAAAGUCUGACGGAGCAACGCCGCGUGAGUGAUGAAGGUUUUCGGAUCGUAAAGCUCUGUUGUUAGGGAAGAACAAGUGCCGUUUGAAUAAGGCGGCACCUUGACGGUACCUAACCAGAAAGCCACGGCUAACUACGUGCCAGCAGCCGCGGUAAUACGUAGGUGGCAAGCGUUGUCCGGAAUUAUUGGGCGUAAAGCGCGCGCAGGCGGUCUCUUAAGUCUGAUGUGAAAGCCCACGGCUCAACCGUGGAGGGUCAUUGGAAACUGGGAGACUUGAGUACAGAAGAGGAGAGUGGAAUUCCACGUGUAGCGGUGAAAUGCGUAGAUAUGUGGAGGAA